rnacentral:rRNA from 1 species
GAUGAACGCUGGCGGCGUGCCUAAUACAUGCAAGUCGAGCGAAUGGAUUAAGAGCUUGCUCUUAUGAAGUUAGCGGCGGACGGGUGAGUAACACGUGGGUAACCUGCCCAUAAGACUGGGAUAACUCCGGGAAACCGGGGCUAAUACCGGAUAACAUUUUGAACCGCAUGGUUCGAAAUUGAAAGGCGGCUUCGGCUGUCACUUAUGGAUGGACCCGCGUCGCAUUAGCUAGUUGGUGAGGUAACGGCUCACCAAGGCAACGAUGCGUAGCCGACCUGAGGGGGGUAUCGGCCACACUGAGACUAAGACACGGCCCAGAGUCCUACGGGAGGCCGCAGUAGGGAAUCUUCCGCAAUGGACGAAAGUCUGACGGAGCAACGCAGCGUGAGUGAUGAAGGCUUUCGGGUCGUAAAACUCUGUUGUUAGGGAAGAACAAGUGCUAGUUGAAUAAGCUGGCACCUUGACGGUACCUAACCAGAAAGCCACGGCUAACUACGUGCCAGCCGCCGCCGUAA